rnacentral:rRNA from 1 species
UACGAAGGGGGCUAGCGUUGCUCGGAAUUACUGGGCGUAAAGCGCACGUAGGCGGUCUUUUAAGUCGGGGGUGAAAUCCUGGAGCUCAACUCCAGAACUGCCUUCGAUACUGGAAGACUCGAGUCCGGGAGAGGUGAGUGGAACUGCGAGUGUAGAGGUGAAAUUCGUAGAUAUUCGCAAGAACACCAGUGGCGAAGGCGGACUCACUGGACCACAACUGACGCUGAUGCACGAAAGCUAGGGGAGCAAACAGG